rnacentral:rRNA from 1 species
GUGACUACCUAACACUGUUGCUUCGGCGGGGAGCCCUCUCGGGGGCGAGCCGCCGGGGACUACUGAACUUCAUGCCUGAGAGUGAUGCAGUCUGAGUCUGAAUAUAAAAUCAGUCAAAACUUUCAACAAUGGAUCUCUUGGUUCCGGCAUCGAUGAAGAACGCAGCGAACUGCGAUAAGUAAUGUGAAUUGCAGAAUUCAGUGAAUCAUCGAGUCUUUGAACGCACAUUGCGCCCCCUGGCAUUCCGGGGGGCAUGCCUGUCCGAGCGUCAUUGCUGCCCAUCAAGCCCGGCUUGUGUGUUGGGUCGUCGUCCCCCCCGGGGGACGGGCCCGAAAGGCAGCGGCGGCACCGUGUCCGGUCCUCGAGCGUAUGGGGCUUUGUCACCCGCUCGAUUAGGGCCGGCCGGGCGCCAGCCGACGUCUCCAACCAUUUUCUUCAGGUUGACCUCGGAUCAGGUAGGGAUACCCGCUGAACUUAAGCAUAUCAAUAAGCGGAGG